rnacentral:rRNA from 1 species
AUUGAACGCUGGCGGCAUUCCUAACCCCUGCAAGUCGAGCGAGCGGCGGACGGGUGAGUAAUGUCUGGGAAACUGCCUGAUGGAGGGGGAUCACUACUGGAAACGGUAGCUCCUACCGCAUACCAUCCGAUGUUCCCAGAUGGGAUUAGCUAGUAGGUGGGGUAACGGCUCACCUAGGCGACGAUCCCUAGCUGGUCUGAGAGGAUGACCCGCCACACUGGAACUGAGACACGGUCCAGACUCCUACGGGAGGCAGCAGUGGGGAAUAUUGCACAAUGGGCGCAAGCCUGAUGCAGCCAUGCCGCGUGUGUGAAGAAGGCCUUCGGGUUGUAAAGCACUUUCAGCGGGGAGGCGUUACCCGCAGAAGAAGCACCGGAGAAAGAAGGGACAGCAGCCGCGGUAAUAC